GGCGUCAGGACGAACGCUGGCGGCGUGCUUAACACAUGCAAGUUGAACGGUAUGGCAUGGAAGCUUGCUGAAGUGUCAUAUAGUAGCGGACGGGUGAGUAAUGCAUGAGAAGCUGCCAUUGGAGGGGGACAACAGUUGGAAACGGCUGCUAAUACCCCGUAUGCCGGAAGGUGAAAGGGAGCGAUCCGCCCGAUGAGGUGCUCAUGUCCUAUCAGCUGGUUGGUGGGGUAACGGCCUACCAAGGCGACGACGGGUAGCCGGCCUGAGAGGGUGAACGGCCACACUGGAACUGAGAUACGGUCCAGACUCCUACGGGAGGCAGCAGUGGGGAAUAUUGGGCAAUGGGGGGCAACCCUGACCCAGCGACGCCGCGUGGGGGAAGACGGCCUUCGGGUUGUAAACCUCUUUUGUACGGGAAGAAGGAAGUGACGGUACUGUACGAAUAAGUCCCGGCUAACUACGUGCCAGCAGCUGC
rnacentral:rRNA from 1 species